rnacentral:lncRNA from 1 species
AAUCUCAAAAACAAACAAAGACAAUGUUUACUAGUGAAGAUAAACAAAAAUAUUAAAAGUCAGGAGCCUUUAGUUCAGUGGUUCAUGCAGUCAUUGGUUCAUGUCUGUCAUAUUUGUUUUUUUCGUAAACAAAUUAGAUGGUUGAGUUUUAUCAUUUGAAUUGUUUCACAUUUUUGAUGUCUGGGUCUUUCAUAUGGCAUACAUCCAUUUUGUUGUGUAUUAUUGUUUUAAAGUGCCAGAUAAACCAUGCUUUUGUUGGUUGUGAGGUUUUCUCCCUGUAAUGAAUACCCAUUGUUGUCCUUUGGCUGUCGUCUGCUCUUUGGUCAGGUUGCUGUCCUUCCACACAUUCUCCAUUUCCAUCAAAUUUUUUCCAUGGCCAGGAAAUAAUUCUGUUAUAUUGCAUUUUAACCCUCAAAAUGGUGUUUUUU